GACGAACGCUGGCGGCGUGCUUAACACAUGCAAGUCGAACGGAAAGGCCCUGCUUUUGUGGGGUGCUCGAGUGGCGAACGGGUGAGUAACACGUGAGUAACCUGCCCUUGACUUUGGGAUAACUUCAGGAAACUGGGGCUAAUACCGGAUAGGAGCUCCUGCUGCAUGGUGGGGGUUGGAAAGUUUCGGCGGUUGGGGAUGGACUCGCGGCUUAUCAGCUUGUUGGUGGGGUAGUGGCUUACCAAGGCUUUGACGGGUAGCCGGCCUGAGAGGGUGACCGGCCACAUUGGGACUGAGAUACGGCCCAGACUCCUACGGGAGGCAGCAGUGGGGAAUAUUGCACAAUGGGCGGAAGCCUGAUGCAGCAACGCCGCGUGCGGGAUGACGGCCCUCGGGUUGUAAACCGCUUUCGCCUGUGACGAAGCGUGAGUGACAGUAAUGGGUAAAGAAGCACCGGCUAACUACGUG
rnacentral:rRNA from 1 species